AAAAGAUCCUGUGCCUACCAGGAAAUUUCACUGAUCUCAUCAAGCUCCAAAAUUCAGGAAGGAGAAAAAAUCUGCACAAAUGAAGAAGUGCCCAGCAGAUCAUGCUGUCUUGUUAAAAACCCCAGUGGGUCUGUUCAUCCUAGUGCAGCACCCUCCAAACCAGCCUUCCCCAAAGGAUUCAGCAGACAUGGUCUGAGAAAAGAGCUAAGCACAAGCUGGAUCUGCUCUACUCUGCCUGCAGCCUUGGUGAGGCAGAGCAUCACAGGAAGAGGAACAUGAAUUCCUGGGAGACAAGUACUGAUGCAGAGGAAGGGGGAAGACAAGACUUGAUCAUCUAAGAAAGAGUGCAGGUUCCUAAGUAAAGCUGUGAGA